rnacentral:rRNA from 1 species
ACGGCGGACGGGGGAGUAACGCGUGGGUAACCUACCCUGUACACACGGAUAACAUACCGAAAGGUAUGCUAAUACGGGAUAAUAUAUUUGAGAGGCAUCUCUUGAAUAUCAAAGGUGAGCCAGUACAGGAUGGACCCGCGUCUGAUUAGCUAGUUGGUAAGGUAACGGCUUACCAAGGCGACGAUCAGUAGCCGACCUAAGAGGGUGAUCGGCCACAUUGGAACUGAGACACGGUCCAA